CACUUGUUCCUUAAAUAGGGACUGGUAUGAACGGCAUCACGAGGGCUCUACUGUCUCCUUUCUCCAAUCAGUGAAACUGAUCUCCUUGUGAAGAAGCAAGGAUAAAAAUAUAAGACGAGAAGACCCCAUGGAGCUUUAAACCCAACGACAACCCCCAACCCAUUAGCCCAUUUUAGUUACUCCAGUUCUGUUCGUUGGUUUUAGGUUGGGGUGACCGCGGAGUAAAAAUUAUCCUCCACGAUGAAUGGGCCUACCCCCUAACCCAAGAGCUACUACUCUAAGGAUCAACAAAUUGACAUAAAAUGAUCCAAUCAUUUGAUCAACGGACCAAGUUACCCUGGGGAUAACAGCGCAAUCCAUUUUAAGAGCCCCUAUCGACAAAUGGGUUUACGACCUCGAUGUUGGAUCAGGGUAUCCCAGUGGUGCAGCCGCUACUAAAGGUUUGUUUGUUCAACAAUUAAAAC
rnacentral:rRNA from 1 species